rnacentral:misc_RNA from 1 species
UGGCUCUGGCAUCGAUGAAGAACGCAGCGAAAUGCGAUAAGUAAUGCGAAUUGCAGAAUUCAGUGAAUCAUCGAAUCUUUGAACGCACAUUGCGCCCGCUAGUAUUCUGGCGGGCAUGCCUGUCUGAGCGUCAUUUCAACCCUCGUGCCCCGGCUUCAUCGCCACGGGCUCGGCGUUGGGGAUCAGCCUCCGGGCUGGCCCUGAAAUACAGUGGCAGCCACGCCGUAGCCUCCUCUGCGUAGUAACUAAACAUGCCUCGCAGGCGGAGAGCGGUCGCGGUCGCGCCGUAAAACACCCAAAACUUUACAAGGUUGACCUCAGAUCAGGUAGGAAUACCCGCUGA